rnacentral:rRNA from 1 species
UACAGAGGGGGCAAGCGUUGUUCGGAAUUACUGGGCGUAAAGGGCGCGUAGGCGGCCUCUUAAGUCGAACGUGAAAUCCCCGGGCUCAACCCGGGAACUGCGUCCGAUACUGGGGGGCUUGAAUCCGGGAGAGGGAUGUGGAAUUCCAGGUGUAGCGGUGAAAUGCGUAGAUAUCAGGAAGAACACCGGUGGCGAAGGCGGCUAUCUGGACCGACAUUGACGCUGAGGCGCGAAAGCGUGGGGAGCGAACAGG